GUGCUCACUCAGCAGCACAUAUACUAAAAUUGGAAUGAUACAGAGAUUAGCAAGGGUGACCUGCAAAUUUGUGAAGCAUUCCAUAUUUUA
ensembl:snRNA U6 U6 spliceosomal RNA